rnacentral:misc_RNA from 1 species
GAUGAAGAACGCAGCGAAAUGCGAUAAGUAAUGUGAAUUGCAGAAUUCAGUGAAUCAUCGAAUCUUUGAACGCACCUUGCACCCUUUGGUAUUCCGAAGGGUAUGCUCGUUUGAGUGUCAUUGUACUCUCACACUUCUAAUUCCUUUCGGGAUUGGGAGCGGUGGACUUGGUUGUUGCUGCUUUAGUUGUGGCUCACCUCAAAUAAGUUAGUGCAACUCUUGGUUGGACAUAGUACGGCGUGAUAAGUGUCUUCGCCGGCGCCUCUGUAAGGAGGGUGGCCGAUCGGGAGCUCUGUGCUUCAAACCGUCUUCGGACAAUCUUUGACAACUUGACCUCAAAUCGAGUAGGACUACCCGCUGAACUUAAGCAUAUCAAUAAGCGGAGGA